rnacentral:lncRNA from 1 species
GAUGACGCACAGUGCUGGCGCAAGUCGUCUUGCGCCAGGCGACUGGGUCUGAGGAGGCAGGAGUUAUUCAUUCCCUUAAGCUUUCAGGCCGGGGGGAGAAUCUUUCAGGUGGUAGCUGCAAGAACUCUUAGUAUGUUGACCUCACCUCUGCCUUCCACAUACCACUACCAGUGAGGAAUUAGGAAUGCAUGAGAAGAGUGUCCAAGAAGAGUGUCCUCAUUCAUGCAAGGCUUAAGAGAGAAUGCAGGUCAACAUCACCAUGUCAAUCAGAGGUGCAGAUGCUGAGAGCACUUUCUAGUCAAGUCCUGCAUGUUCAUUUCUGUCUCAAGUCAGCUUCUCUGAGAAUCCAAUUUAUAAAAAUAUAUUUGUGAAUGUAUAAGUAAAGUGACUUGGAUUUUGUCUACGUACAAGGACUUCUAUGCCUGCAUAAAACAGGUCACAGUAAAGAGCUAUUUCAGUGCAAUGAAAAUGGAACCCAGGGUAUUUGGGAGUUUUGACAUCCAGGCCUAGUAUCGUAAAGACACCAAGCGUAGUUUGGAACCAGCAGCAGCAGCAGCUCCCCAGACCUACUGAAUCAGAAUCUACAUUUUGAUAAGAGCCCAGGGUGACUCCAUGUACGUGAAAAAGUUUGAGAAGUCCUUAGACCUACAGUUCACAGCUUCUCCUUCUUUCUUAUUCAACUGAAUUGCAGUGGGACCUGAGUAUGGUUAAAAUAAAUGAAUAAAAACACAAAUC